rnacentral:rRNA from 1 species
CCUACGGGAGGCAGCAGUGGGGAAUAUUGCACAAUGGGGGAAACCCUGAUGCAGCGACGCCGCGUGAGUGAAGAAGUAUUUCGGUACGUAAAGCUCUAUCAGCAGGGAGGAAAAUGACGGUACCUGACUAAGAAGCCCCGGCUAACUACGUGCCAGCAGCCGCGGUAAUACGUAGGGGGCAAGCGUUAUCCGGAUUUACUGGGUGUAAAGGGAGCGUAGACGGCAGCGCAAGUCUGGAGUGAAAUCCCAUGGCUUAACCAUGGAACUGCUUUGGAAACUGUGCAGCUAGAGUGCAGGAGAGGUAAGCGGAAUGCCUAGUGUAGCGGUGAAAUGCGUAGAUAUUAGGAGGAACACCAGUGGCGAAGGCGGCUUACUGGACUGUAACUGACGUUGAGGCUCGAAAGCGUGGGGAGCAAACAGGAUUAGAGACCCUAGUAGUC